CUCUCUUCUCAGCGUCAUUCACCUCUCACCUCUUCUUCUUCUUCUUCGUUAUCUUCUUUACCAUAUUUUUUUUUCUUCCAAAUGAAUCCGUUGAUUGAUUCCGUUGCAUAUUUUGCUACUCUGUGAUUGCGUUAGCUAAGAAGGAACUCCCUCUUCCACAUGGGGAAGCCUUUCUCCUCUCACUCAGUUGCUCUUGAUGAACUUUCGGUCUUUGAUCGACAAGACAACCUAAGCCAGAUCAGAUUAGGGUUUGUCAGAUCGAGAGACGAAACAACAUGUGUGAGGGAUGAAAGGUUUCCGAAUGAGGCGGAGGGACUUUUUUCUUGGAGAUUGCAGCCACAAGGAAGCAAUAUAUGUGUAAAUAUCGUUUCUUUUUGUUGAUGGAUUAAUAAUGUAAAGGGAUUUGCUGGUCAACCCAUCAUGUGAUCAAAUCCGGACGCUUCACCGGCCUUUCUCGGCAAAUCUUGGACAGAAGGCUCCUUCAAGAACCGAUAUUUCAGCUGAUAAGCAAGAACUCGUGCUUCGGUCGGCGUCAGCGAUAGAGAGUUCAUUUGUUUUGGUUUUUAUCCGAGUCUGGGCAAAUGAAAUUCAGGACCACGUUCGAAUACGGUCUGUAUGUGUAGCGAAUCAUUUUGAUCUUUGAUAGUGUUGAUAUGUGAUGGAAGUCUCUGCAUACAUACAUAUCAUAUCCACAUGUCCAUGACGUUUCCUUCUCCAUACAGAAAUUUCCAAGCUUUCUUUCACGUU